rnacentral:tRNA from 1 species
GUCUCUGUGUCGCAAUUGGAUUAGCGCGUUCGAGCUGUUAACCGAAAGGUUGCUGGUUCAAGCCCAGCCAGGGACG